GACGAACGCUGGCGGCGUGCUUAACACAUGCAAGUCGAACGGAAAGGCCCUGCUUUUGUGGGGUGCUCGAGUGGCGAACGGGUGAGUAACACGUGAGUAACCUGCCCUUGACUUUGGGAUAACUUCAGGAAACUGGGGCUAAUACCGGAUAGGAGCUCCUGCUGCAUGGUGGGGGUUGGAAAGUUUCGGCGGUUGGGGAUGGACUCGCGGCUUAUCAGCUUGUUGGUGGGGUAGUGGCUUACCAAGGCUUUGACGGGUAGCCGGCCUGAGAGGGUGACCGGCCACAUUGGGACUGAGAUACGGCCCAGACUCCUACGGGAGGCAGCAGUGGGGAAUAUUGCACAAUGGGCGGAAGCCUGAUGCAGCAACGCCGCGUGCGGGAUGACGGCCUUCGGGUUGUAAACCGCUUUCGCCUGUGACGAAGCGUGAGUGACGGUAAUGGGUAAAGAAGCACCGGCUAACUACGUGCCAGCAGCCGCGGUGAUACGUAGGGUGCGAGCGUUGUCCGGAUUUAUUGGGCGUAAAGGGCUCGUAGGUGGUUGAUCGCGUCGGAAGUGUAAUCUUGGGGCUUUAACCCUGAGCGUGCUUUCGAUACGGGUUGACUUGAGGAAGGUAGGGGAGAAUGGAAUUCCUGGUGGAGCGGUGGAAUGCGCAGAUAUCAGGAGGAACACCAGUGGCGAAGGCGGUUCUCUGGGCCUUUCCUGACGCUGAGGAGCGAAAGCGUGGGGAGCGAACAGGCUUAGAUACCCUGGUAGUCCACGCUGUAAACGGUGGGUACUAGGUGUGGGGUCCAUUCCACGGGUUCCGUGCCGUAGCUAACGCUUUAAGUACCCCGCCUGGGGAGUACGGCCGCAAGGCUAAAACUCAAAGGAAUUGACGGGGCCCCGCACAAGCGGCGGAGCAUGCGGAUUAAUUCGAUGCAACGCGUAGAACCUUACCUGGGUUUGACAUGGAUCGGAAGCGCUCAGAGAUGGGUGUGCCUCUUUUGGGGUCGGUUCACAGGUGGUGCAUGGCUGUCGUCAGCUCGUGUCGUGAGAUGUUGGGUUAAGUCCCGCAACGAGCGCAACCCUUGUUCACUGUUGCCAGCACGUUAUGGUGGGGACUCAGUGGAGACCGCCGGGGUCAACUCGGAGGAAGGUGGGGAUGACGUCAAGUCAUCAUGCCCCUUAUGUCCAGGGCUUCACGCAUGCUACAAUGGCUGGUACAGAGAGUGGCGAGCCUGUGAGGGUGAGCGAAUCUCGGAAAGCCGGUCUCAGUUCGGAUUGGGGUCUGCAACUCGACCUCAUGAAGUCGGAGUCGCUAGUAAUCGCAGAUCAGCAACGCUGCGGUGAAUACGUUCCCGGG
rnacentral:rRNA from 1 species